rnacentral:rRNA from 2 species
AAAUUGAAGAGUUUGAUCAUGGCUCAGAUUGAACGCUGGCGGCAGGCCUAACACAUGCAAGUCGAACGGUAACAGGAAGCAGCUUGCUGCUUUGCUGACGAGUGGCGGACGGGUGAGUAAUGUCUGGGAAACUGCCUGAUGGAGGGGGAUAACUACUGGAAACGGUGGCUAAUACCGCAUAACGUCGCAAGACCAAAGAGGGGGACCUUCGGGCCUCUUGCCAUCAGAUGUGCCCAGAUGGGAUUAGCUAGUUGGUGAGGUAACGGCUCACCAAGGCGACGAUCCCUAGCUGGUCUGAGAGGAUGACCAGCCACACUGGAACUGAGACACGGUCCAGACUCCUACGGGAGGCAGCAGUGGGGAAUAUUGCACAAUGGGCGCAAGCCUGAUGCAGCCAUGCCGCGUGUAUGAAGAAGGCCUUCGGGUUGUAAAGUACUUUCAGCGGGGAGGAAGGUGUUGUGGUUAAUAACCACAGCAAUUGACGUUACCC